AUAAAUAUACACUUAUACCCCAAUGGUAAAUUAAUUUAAACAUUAGGGUUUAGAGUUAAGGGGUGGGGUUUCGGAUUUAGGGUUUAUGGUUUAGGAUUUAGGGUUUACGGUUUAGAGUUUAGGGGUGGGGUUUAGGGUUUAGGGUUUAGAGUUAAGGGGUGGGGUUUAGGAUUUAGGGUUUAGGAUUUAGGGUUUAGGGUUUAGGGGUUAGAGUUUAGGGGUGGGUUUAGGGUUUAGGGUUUAGAGUUAAGGGAUGGGGUUUAGGAUUUAGGAUUUAAGGUUUAGAGUUUAGAGUUUAGGAUUUAGAGUUUAGGUUUUAGGGUUUAGAGUUGGAGAGUGGAGUUUUGGGAUAAGAUUUCAAAUUUUGAAAAAUAAAAUAAAAUUAAAUUUUUCAAAAGAUACAAUGCUAUUUUUGGUCAUUUUAGUUUUUGAAAGCUAUUUUUGUGACAUAAACUUAGAAAUGUGCUAUUUUUGAGAUUUGUCCUAUAUAAUAUUACUUUUGGUGUGUAAUAUUUAGUGUUAUGGUUCGAGAAGACAAAAAAAAGUUUGACAUCAAAACACUAAAUUUGAUGUAAUUUCUAACACCAAAUUUGGUGU
rnacentral:lncRNA from 1 species